rnacentral:rRNA from 1 species
GUGGAUUAGAUACCCUGGUAGUCCACGCCGUAAACGAUGUCUACUAGCCGUUGGGAGACUUGAUUUCUUAGUGGCGCAGCUAACGCAAUAAGUAGACCGCCUGGGGAGUACGGCCGCAAGGUUAAAACUCAAAUGAAUUGACGGGGGCCCGCACAAGCGGUGGAGCAUGUGGUUUAAUUCGAUGCAACGCGAAGAACCUUACCAGGUCUUGACAUCCAGAGAACUUGGCAGAGAUGCCUUGGUGCCUUCGGGAGCUCUGAGACAGGUGCUGCACGGUUGUCGUCAGCU